GGCCAGUUAGCUCAGUGGUUUGAGUGCGGUGCUGACAACAUUGGUUGCGGGUUCGAUUCCCGCUCGGUCUC
rnacentral:tRNA from 1 species